rnacentral:rRNA from 1 species
GGAAGGUGGGAUGACGUCAAGUCCUCAUGGCCUUUAUGCUUAGGGCUACACACGUGCUACAAUGGGUGGUACAAAGAGAAGCCAACUCGCGAGAGCGCGCCAAUCUCAAAAAGCCAUCCUCAGUUCGGAUUGGAGUCUGCAACUCGACUCCAUGAAGUUGGAAUCGCUAGUAAUCGCGGAUCAGCAUGCCGCGGUGAAUACGUUCCCGGGCCUU